ACGAACGCUGGCGGCGUGCCUAAUACAUGCAAGUAGAACGCUGAAGAGAGGAGCUUGCUCUUCUUGGAUGAGUUGCGAACGGGUGAGUAACGCGUAGGUAACCUGCCUUGUAGCGGGGGAUAACUAUUGGAAACGAUAGCUAAUACCGCAUAACAAUGGAUGACACAUGUCAUUUAUUUGAAAGGGGCAAUUGCUCCACUACAAGAUGGACCUGCGUUGUAUUAGCUAGUAGGUGAGGUAACGGCUCACCUAGGCGACGAUACAUAGCCGACCUGAGAGGGUGAUCGGCCACACUGGGACUGAGACACGGCCCAGACUCCUACGGGAGGCAGCAGUAGGGAAUCUUCGGCAAUGGGGGCAACCCUGACCGAGCAACGCCGCGUGAGUGAAGAAGGUUUUCGGAUCGUAAAGCUCUGUUGUAAGUCAAGAACGAGUGUGAGAGUGGAAAGUUCACACUGUGACGGUAGCUUACCAGAAAGGGACGGCUAACUACGUGCCAGCAGCCGCGGUAAUACGUAGGUCCCGAGCGUUGUCCGGAUUUAUUGGGCGUAAAGCGAGCGCAGGCGGUUUGAUAAGUCUGAAGUUAAAGGCUGUGGCUCAACCAUAGUUCGCUUUGGAAACUGUCAAACUUGAGUGCAGAAGGGGAGAGUGGAAUUCCAUGUGUAGCGGUGAAAUGCGUAGAUAUAUGGAGGAACACCGGUGGCGAAAGCGGCUCUCUGGUCUGUAACUGACGCUGAGGCUCGAAAGCGUGGGGAGCGAACAGGAUUAGAUACCCUGGUAGUCCACGCCGUAAACGAUGAGUGCUAGGUGUUGGAUCCUUUCCGGGAUUCAGUGCCGCAGCUAACGCAUUAAGCACUCCGCCUGGGGAGUACGACCGCAAGGUUGAAACUCAAAGGAAUUGACGGGGGCCCGCACAAGCGGUGGAGCAUGUGGUUUAAUUCGAAGCAACGCGAAGAACCUUACCAGGUCUUGACAUCCCGAUGCUAUUUCUAGAGAUAGAAAGUUACUUCGGUACAUCGGUGACAGGUGGUGCAUGGUUGUCGUCAGCUCGUGUCGUGAGAUGUUGGGUUAAGUCCCGCAACGAGCGCAACCCCUAUUGUUAGUUGCUACGCAAGAGCACUCUAGCGAGACUGCCGUUGACAAAACGGAGGAAGGUGGGGAUGACGUCAAAUCAUCAUGCCCCUUAUGACCUGGGCUACACACGUGCUACAAUGGUUGGUACAACGAGUUGCGAGUCGGUGACGGCAAGCUAAUCUCUUAAAGCCAAUCUCAGUUCGGAUUGUAGGCUGCAACUCGCCUACAUGAAGUCGGAAUCGCUAGUAAUCGCGGAUCAGCACGCCGCGGUGAAUACGUUCCCGGGCCUUGUACACACCGCCCGUCACACCACGAGAGUUUGUAACACCCGAAGUCGGUGAGGUAACCUUUUGGAGCCAGCCGCCUAAGGUGGGAUAGAUGAUUGGGGUG
rnacentral:rRNA from 1 species